UACGGCCAUAUCCCUUUAAAACACCAGUUCCUGUACAAUCACUGAAGUUAAGCAACGUCGAGCCUUGUCAGUGCCUAGAUGGGUGACCACUUAGGAAUACCGGUUGCUGUAAG